AGCGUUGGUCGGAAUUACUGGGCGUAAAGAGUGUGUAGGCGGUGCUCUAAGUUCGGUGUGAAAUCUCCCGGCUCAACUGGGAGGGUGCGCCGAAAACUGGAGUGCUGGAGCGCGGGAGAGAAAAGCGGAAUUCCUGGUGUAGCGGUGAAAUGCGUAGAUAUCAGGAGGAACACCGGCGGUGUAGACGGCUUUCUGGACCGUAGCUGACGCUGAGACACGAAAGCGUGGGUAGCAAACAGG
rnacentral:rRNA from 1 species